CAUGUGCUAUGAUUGUAACAAUUCCUCGUACUGAAUGCCAAAAGCAUGACAGACUAUCUCUACCCAUAGAAUAUGAGCACA
rfam:Physcomitrella patens subsp. patens PHYPAscaffold_245 genomic scaffold, whole genome shotgun sequence.